GUCAGGAUGGCCGAGUGGUUAAGGCGCCAGACUUAAGAUUCUAAUUCAAAUAAUAGAUUAAUAGGUAAUCUUGUAAUAUCCGUUACUUGGCAUUCUGGUCUUCGAAGAAGGCGUGGGUUCGAACCCCACUCUUGACA
rfam:Daphnia pulex DAPPTscaffold_688_Cont10651, whole genome shotgun sequence.